rnacentral:lncRNA from 1 species
CAUUGCAUUGCAUUGCUUUGCACGGAGCUCCAUUGCAUUGCGUUGCACUGACACUCCAUUGCUUUGCUUUGCAUUGCUUUGCUUUGCUUUGCUUUGCAUUGCUUUGCAUUGCACUGACACUCCAUUGCUUUGCAUUGCUUUGCUUUGCUUUGCUUUGCAUUGCUUUGCAUUGCACUGACACUGCAUUGCUUUGCUUUGCUUUGCAUUGCUUUGCACGGAGCUCCGUUGCAUUGCAUUGCACUGACACUCCGUUGCUUUGCUUUACUUUGCUUUGCAUGGAGCUCUGUUGCUUUGCAUGCAUUGCAUUGCAUUUCACUGACACUCAUUGCUUUGCAUUGCUUUGCAUUGCAUUGCAUUGCAUUGCACGGAGCUCCAUUGCUUUGCACUGCAUUGCCUUGCUUUGCUCUGCAUUGCAUUGACACUCCGUUGCUUUGCUUUGCUUUGCUUUUCACGCGGCUCCGUUGCUUUGCAUUGCUUUGCUUUGCUUUGCUUUGCUUUGCAUUGCAUUGCUUUGCACGGAGCUCCGUUGCAUUGCAUUGCACUGGCACUGCUUUGCUUUGCUUUGCUUUGCUUUGCACAGAGCUCCGUUGCUUUGCAUUGCUUUGCAUUGCUUUGCAUUGCUUUGCAUUGCUUUGCAUUGCUUUGCAUUGCACUGCACAGACCCCCAUUGCAUUUCAUGGGCCUCCAUUGCAUUGCAUUGCACUGCACGGAGCUGCAUUGCUCUGCUUUGCUCUGCAUUGCUCUGACACUCCAUUGUAUUGCAUUGCACGGAGCUCUGUUGCUUUGCUUUGCAUUGCACUGGCACUCCAUUGUUUCACAUUGCUUUGCUUUGCAUUGCAUUGCAGGGAGCUCCAUUGCUUUGCCUUGCCUUGCAUUGCACUGACACUGCGUUGCUUUGCAUUGCUUUGCAUUGCUUUGCAUUGCUUUGCAUUGCUUUGCAUUGCACUGAGCAACAUUGCAUUGCAUUGCACUGCACGGAGCUGCAUUGCUCUGCUUUGCAUUGCGUUGCUCUGACACUUCAUUGCAUUGCGCUGCACGGACUUCCAUUACUUUGCAUUGCAUUGCAUUGCACGGACCUUCAUUGCUUUGCAUGGCGUUGCACGGAGCUGCGUUGCUUUGCACAGCUUUGCUUUGCGUUGCAUUGCACUGACACUGCAUUGCUUUGCUUUGCUUUGCUGCACUUUGUGUUGCACUGACGCUUUGUUGCUUUGCACAGAGCUCCUUUGCAUUGCAUUGCUUUGCUUUGCUUUGCUUUGCAUUGCAUUGCAUAGAGCUCCAUUGCUUUGCUUUGCAUUGCGUUGCAUUGCACUGACACUGCUUUGCUUUGCUUUGCUUCACUUUGCGUUGCACUGAAACUUUGUUGCUUUGCACAGAGCUCCUUUGCAUUGCAUUGCAUUGCUUUGCAUUGCGUUGCAUUGCGUUGCAUUGCACUGACACUGCUUUGCUUUGCUUUGCUUUGCUUUGCUUUGCACCGAGCUCCAUCGCAUUGCACUGCUCUGCAUUGCUUUUGCUCUCCGUUGCUUUUGCUCUCCGUUUCUUUUGCUCUGCAUUGCUUUUGCUCUGCAUUGCAUGGCUUUGCUUUGCACUGCUUUGUAUUGCACUGCAUUGCACUGCUCUGCUUUGCAUUGCUCAUUGCUUUGCUUUGCAUUGCUCUGCUUUGCUCUGCAUUGCAUUGCAUUGCAUUGCUUUGCUUUGCUUUGCUUUGCACUGCUUUGCUCUGCAUUGCAUUGCUUUGCUUUGCUUUGCACUGCUUUGCUUUGCACUGCUUUGCUCUGCAUUGCUUUUGCUUUGCUUUGCACUGCACUGCUCUGCUUUGCUCUGCUUUGCUUUGCAUUGCAUUGCAUUGCAUUGCUUUGCUUUGCUUUGCACUGCUUUGCACUGCACUGCUCUGCUCUGCUUUGCUUUGCACUGCACUGCUCUGCUUUGCUCUGCUUUGCUUUGCUUUGCACUGCACACUGUUGCCCCCCCCCGCCCCCCCAGUGCAUUUUAUUGGG